rnacentral:hammerhead_ribozyme from 1 species
AUUCAGUUGAUGUGUCCGAAAUGGGAUAAAACGCGCGUCCUGGAU